rnacentral:sRNA from 1 species
GAGGUGUGAGUAGAGCCUGGGGGAGAGUGGAUCCAGGUGAAGGGGGCAGAGGUCACCUGUGCAGGGAUCAGUCCAUUUAUUAUUCCUCUCUCUUUUCUCUGACAGCUGGAUGAAAGGGACUGAGAGUUUUCGUCCUCUUGAAUAAGAACUCGACAAUAGAGUGGGAACUUUCUGUCUUGUGAUCGAUUGCCUGGUUCUCUGUCAUUUUUUUAUUCUUCGGUGCUGUGAUCAUCACAUCAGUUCUGUUGCUUUUCCCGCGAGCUGGUGAAUUCCCAGCCCCAGAGGUGGAAGUUAAGAUUGUGGAUGACUUUUUCAUUGGCCGCUAUGUCCUGCUGGCUUUCCUUAGUGCCAUCUUCCUUGGAGGCCUCUUCUUGGUUUUAAUCCAUCAUGUUCUGGAGCCGAUCUAUGCCAAACCACUGCGCUCCUACUGACCACUCUUCAGGAAAACGAAAACCUGUUCUCUCCUUCAUUGUGAUGACAUUGAUGAGCAGGAAGGCACUAUUCAGAGCCUUGUUUUGACAGCCCUCAUGCCUUAAGGUUAGAGGAGUAUCCGUCCAUCACUAAGACAAAUCUCUUGAGUCCUGGCUUCCAGAAACAGGAUUGCCAAAAUUGUCCCUGUGGGGCUAGAUUCUUACCAGCUUAAGAAGGAUAUUGCUAUCUUCUUAGUACCCGUACCUUAGGAUUUCCAACUGUUUUGAAAGGGAAAUAGUAACAGUGAUCUGCUUAGAGUGGAUUUUCACUCAAGUCCUUAGUAAGUGGAUUUUGGGGAAAAGAGCACAUG